rnacentral:rRNA from 1 species
AUUGAACGCUGGCGGCAGGCCUAACACAUGCAAGUCGAGCGAGCGGCGCACGGGUGAGUAAUGUAUGGGGAUCUGCCCGCUAGCGGGGGAUAACUACUGGAAAAGGUGGCUAUUACCGCACACUCUCGGAUGAACCCAGAUGGGAUUAUCUAGUAGGUGGGGUAAAGGCUCACCUAGGCGACGAUCUCUAGAUGGGCUGAGAGGAUGGUCAGCCACACUGGGACUGAGACACGGCCCAGACUCCUACGGGAGGCAGCAGUGGGGAAUAUUGCACAAUGGGCGAAAGCCUGAUGCAGCCAUGCCGCGUGUAUGAAGAAGGCCUUAGGGUUGUAAAGUACUUUCAGCGGGGAGGAGUUACCCGAAGAAGAAGCACCGGCUAACUCCGUGCCAGCAGCCGCGGUAAUUC